rnacentral:rRNA from 1 species
GACGAACGCUGGCGGCAUGCCUAAUACAUGCAAGUCGAGCGAACAGAUGAAGUGCUUGCACUUUUGACGUUAGCGGCGAACGGGUGAGUAACACGUAAGGAAUCUACCUAUAAGCGGGGGAUAACAUUCGGAAACGGGUGCUAAUACCGCAUAAUAUCUUCUUCCGCAUGGAAGAAGAUUGAAAGACGGCUCUGCUGUCACUUAUAGAUGACCUUGCGGUGCAUUAGUUAGUUGGUGGGGUAACGGCCUACCAAGACGAUGAUGCAUAGCCGACCUGAGAGGGUGAUCGGCCACAUUGGGACUGAGACACGGCCCAAACUCCUACGGGAGGCAGCAGUAGGGAAUCUUCCGCAAUGGGCGAAAGCCUGACGGAGCAAUGCCGCGUGAGUGAAGAAGGCCUUCGGGUCGUAAAACUCUGUUAUAAGAGAAGAACAAAUUGUAGAGUAACUGCUACAGUCUUGACGGUAUCUUAUCAGAAAGCCACGGCUAACUACGUG